UCUCUCUCUCUCUCUCUCUCUCUCUCUCUCUCUCACACACACACACACACACACAGAGAGAGAGAGAGAGAGAGAGAGAGAGA
rnacentral:miRNA from 1 species